rnacentral:rRNA from 1 species
UUUAUGGAGAGUUUGAUCCUGGCUCAGGAUGAACGCUGGCGGCGUGCCUAAUACAUGCAAGUCGAGCGAACGGACGAGAAGCUUGCUUCUCUGAUGUUAGCGGCGGACGGGUGAGUAACACGUGGAUAACCUACCUAUAAGACUGGGAUAACUUCGGGAAACCGUAGCUAAUACCGGAUAAUAUUUUGAACCGCAUGGUUCAAAAGUGAAAGACGGUCUUGCUGUCACUUAUAGAUGGAUCCGCGCUGCAUUAGCUAGUUGGUAAGGUAACGGCUUACCAAGGCAACGAUGCAUAGCCGACCUGAGAGGGUGAUCGGCCACACUGGAACUGAGACACGGUCCAGACUCCUACGGGAGGCAGCAGUAGGGAAUCUUCCGCAAUGGGCGAAAGCCUGACGGAGCAACGCCGCGUGAGUGAUGAAGGUCUUCGGAUCGUAAAACUCUGUUAUUAGGGAAGAACAUAUGUGUAAGUAACUGUGCACAUCUUGACGGUACCUAAUCAGAAAGCCACGGCUAACUACGUGCCAGCAGCCGCGGUAAUACGUAGGUGGCAAGCGUUAUCCGGAAUUAUUGGGCGUAAAGCGCGCGUAGGCGGUUUUUUAAGUCUGAUGUGAAAGCCCACGGCUCAACCGUGGAGGGUCAUUGGAAACUGGAAAACUUGAGUGCAGAAGAGGAAAGUGGAAUUCCAUGUGUAGCGGUGAAAUGCGCAGAGAUAUGGAGGAACACCAGUGGCGAAGGCGACUUUCUGGUCUGUAACUGACGCUGAUGUGCGAAAGCGUGGGGAUCAAACAGGAUUAGAUACCCUGGUAGUCCACGCCGUAAACGAUGAGUGCUAAGUGUUAGGGGGUUUCCGCCCCUUAGUGCUGCAGCUAACGCAUUAAGCACUCCGCCUGGGGAGUACGACCGCAAGGUUGAAACUCAAAGGAAUUGACGGGGACCCGCACAAGCGGUGGAGCAUGUGGUUUAAUUCGAAGCAACGCGAAGAACCUUACCAAAUCUUGACAUCCUUUGACAACUCUAGAGAUAGAGCCUUCCCCUUCGGGGGACAAAGUGACAGGUGGUGCAUGGUUGUCGUCAGCUCGUGUCGUGAGAUGUUGGGUUAAGUCCCGCAACGAGCGCAACCCUUAAGCUUAGUUGCCAUCAUUAAGUUGGGCACUCUAAGUUGACUGCCGGUGACAAACCGGAGGAAGGUGGGGAUGACGUCAAAUCAUCAUGCCCCUUAUGAUUUGGGCUACACACGUGCUACAAUGGACAAUACAAAGGGCAGCGAAACCG